rnacentral:lncRNA from 1 species
GGCAACCAGCUUGGGUCUGCUCCCACGCUGUUGGGGCGGGGGCGGGGGGGGGGUUGUUCUUUUGCUCCUUGGGUCCACACUGCGUUUAUGAGCUGUAAUAUUCACCGCAAAGGUCUGCAGCUUCACUACUAAGCCAACGAGACCACAAACCCACCAGGAGGAACGACAAUUCCAGACGCGUGGCUUUAACAGCUGUUAACACUCACCGCGAAGGUCUGUAGCUUCAUUUCUGAGUCAGCGAGACCACGAACCCACCAGAAAGAAGAAACUCCGAACACACCCGAACCUCAGAAGGAACAAAUUCCGGACACGCCGCCUUUAAGAACUGUAACACUCACCACAAGGGUCCGCGGCUUCAUUCUUGAAGUCAGUGAGACCAAGAACCCACUAAUUCCGGACACACUUUGACCAGCAGAGCAGGCAGAAGUAAAGCCACGGUUCACAGAAGUGGCUGCCCCGGCUGGACACAGGCUCAAUCUUGCUGGAAUCUGUCCUCUUACUCCCCUACCCCAGCCCAGUGCCCCACCAGCGUGCUCCACUCAGCAUCCUGAUUUUCCCUGGAAUGUGCCACUUUGCCACCAUUUCCCUUUCAACAGAUGGAAUAUAGCAAGUUCGCUUUCUG